UACGGGGGGGGGCAAGCGUUGUUCGGAAUUACUGGGCGUAAAGGGCUCGUAGGCGGCCAACUAAGUCCGACGUGAAAUCCCCAGGCUUAACCUGGGAACUGCGUCGGAUACUGGAUGGCUUGAAUCCGGGAGAGGGAUGCGGAAUUCCAGGUGUAGCGGUGAAAUGCGUAGAUAUCUGGAGGAACACCGGUGGCGAAGGCGGCAUCCUGGACCGGCAUUGACGCUGAUGAGCGAAAGCCAGGGGAGCAAAACGGGG
rnacentral:rRNA from 1 species